GGGGAUGUAAAGGCUUCGACGGGGGUUUGGACCCUUGAUAAGCGGGUAGAGGUGUGGAACCGCUUUAAAAUCCACAACUUAAAAAUAACUGACAAGACUAAGACAGUUGCAUUAGCUGCCUGAUUUUAGGCGGCUUGUCCUGACAGAGAGCACCGCGGCUCUGUUAAGGGCAUCGAUUCAGCGGUAAAUGUGAACGGGGGAGUGUCUCGAACCCUGUCACACACAAGAGGCUACCGAGCGUGUAAGCGUGUUAUUGCGCGUGCGCGCGAGGGAAAUUCAAUACAAUAACUACACUCGUAGAAAGUCAAGGUAAAGAACUUUCGGACGGGGGUUCAAUUCCCCCCAUCUCCACCA
rnacentral:tmRNA from 1 species